rnacentral:rRNA from 1 species
GUACCUACGGGGCGCAGCAGUGGGGGAUAUUGCACAAUGGGGGGAACCCUGAUGCAGCGACGCCGCGUGGGUGAAGAAGCGCCUCGGCGCGUAAAGCCCUGUCAGCAGGGAAGAAAAUGACGGUACCUGAAGAAGAAGCCCCGGCUAACUACGUGCCAGCAGCCGCGGUAAUACGUAGGGGGCAAGCGUUAUCCGGAUUUACUGGGUGUAAAGGGAGCGUAGACGGCUGUGCAAGUCUGAAGUGAAAGCCCGCGGCGCAACCGCGGAACUGCUUUGGAAACUGUAUAGCUUGAGUACUGGAGGGG